rnacentral:rRNA from 1 species
AUUGAACGCUGGCGGCAGGCCUAACACAUGCAAGUCGAGCGGGGUUUUCGGACCUAGCGGCGGACGGGUGAGUAAUGCGUAGGAAGCUGCCCGAUAGAGGGGGAUACCAGUUGGAAACGACUGUUAAUACCGCAUAAUGUCUACGGACCAAAGUGUGAGACCUUCGGGCCACAUGCUAUCGGAUGCGCCUACGUGGGAUUAGCUAGUUGGUGAGGUAAUGGCUCACCAAGGCGACGAUCUCUAGCUGGUUUGAGAAGAUGAUCAGCCACACUGGAACUGAGACACGGUCCAGACUCCUACGGGAGGCAGCAGUGGGGAAUAUUGGACAAUGGGCGCAAGCCUGAUCCAGCCAUGCCGCGUGUGUGAAGAAGGCCUUCGGGUUGUAAAGCACUUUCAGCGAGGAGGAAGGGUUAGUCGUUAAUAGCGGCUAAUUUUGACGUUACUCGCAGAAGAAGCACCGGCUAACUCUGUGCCAGCCGCCGCCGUAAUAC